rnacentral:rRNA from 1 species
AUCGAACGCUGGCGGCAGGCCUAACACAUGCAAGUCGAACGAGUGGCGGACGGGUGAGCAAGGUCUGGGAAACUGCCUGACGGAGGGGGCUAACUACUGGAACCGGUAGCUAAUACCGCAAACCAUCGGAUGUGACCAGAUGGGAUUAGCUAGUCGGUGGGGUAACGGCUAACCUAGGCGACGAUCCCUAGCUGGUCUGCGAGGAUGACCAGCCACACUGGAACUGAGACACGGUCCAGACUCCUACGGGAGGCAGCAGUGGGGAAUAUUGCACAAUGGACGCAAGCCUGAUGCAGCCAUGCCGCGUGUAUGAAGAAGGCCUUCGGAUUGUAAAGCACUUUAAGUUGGGAGGCGUUACCUACAGAAUAAGCACCGGCUAACUACGUGCCAGCAGCCGCGGUAAUUC